rnacentral:rRNA from 1 species
AGUUUGAUCCUGGCUCAGGAUGAACGCUGGCGGCACGCUUAACACAUGCAAGUCGAACGAGGUCCAUGGAGCUUGCUCCGGAAGACUUAGUGGCGAACGGGUGCGUAACACGUGAGAAAUCUGCCCCGGACUCUGGGAUAACAGUUGGAAACGGCUGCUAAUACCGGAUGCCUUCAUUUUGCCGCAUGGCUUUGUGAAGAAAGAUUUAUCGGUUUGGGAGGAUCUCGCGGCCUAUCAGCUUGUUGGAGAGGUAACGGCUCACCAAGGCAUCGACGGGUAGCUGGUCUGAGAGGAUGAUCAGCCACACUGGAACUGAGACACGGUCCAGACUCCUACGGGAGGCAGCAGUGGGGAAUCUUGCACAAUGGGCGAAAGCCUGAUGCAGCGAUGCCGCGUGCGGGAAGAAGGCCUUAGGGUUGUAAACCGCUUUCAGGAGGGAAGAAAUGACGGUACCUCCAGAAGAAGGUGCGGCCAACUACGUGCCAGCAGCCGCGGUGACACGUAGGCACCAAGCGUUAUCCGGAUUUAUUGGGCGUAAAGAGCUCGUAGGCGGUUUGGUAAGUCGGGUGUGAAAACUCUGGGCUCAACCCAGAGAGGCCACUCGAUACUGCUAUGACUAGAGUACGGUAGGGGAGCGGGGAAUUCCUGGUGUAGCGGUGAAAUGCGCAGAUAUCAGGAGGAACACCAGCGGCGAAGGCGCCGCUCUGGGCCGUAACUGACGCUGAGGAGCGAAAGCAUGGGUAGCAAACAGGAUUAGAUACCCUGGUAGUCCAUGCCGUAAACGUUGGGCACUAGGUGUGGGUCUCAACCAACGAGAUCCGCGCCGUCGCUAACGCAUUAAGUGCCCCGCCUGGGGAGUACGGUCGCAAGACUAAAACUCAAAGGAAUUGACGGGGGCCCGCACAAGCAGCGGAGCGUGUUGCUUAAUUCGAUGCAACGCGAAGAACCUUACCUGGGUUUGACAUGUAGAGAAAAGCUCUAGAGAUAGGGUGUCCUUCGGGGCUUUACACAGGUGGUGCAUGGCUGUCGUCAG